CCUACGGGUGGCAGCAGUGAGGAAUCUUGGUCAAUGGGCGAAACCCUGAACCAGCCAAGUAGCGUGCAGGAUGACGGCUCUAUGGUUUGUAAACUUCUUUUAUGUGGGAAUAAAGUGAGGCACGUGUUCCUUUUUGUAUGUACCGUAUGAAUAAGCAUCGGCUAAUUCCGUGCCAGCAGCCGCGGUAAUACGGAGGAUGCGAGCGUUAUCCGGAUUUAUUGGGUUUAAAGGGUGCGUAGGUGGUUAAUUAAGUGAGCGGUGAAAUUUUGUGGCUCAACCAUCACAUUGCCGUUCAAACUGGUUGACUUGAGUAUACCUGAGGUAGGCGGAAUGCGUGGUGUAGCGGUGAAAUGCAUAGAUAUCACGAAGAACUCCGAUUGCGAAGGCAGCUUACUAUACUAUAACUGACACUGAAGCUCGAAAGUGCGGGGAUCAAACAGGAUUAGAUACCCUGGUAGUC
rnacentral:rRNA from 1 species